UAUUUUAGUCUUGUUAGAGGAACCUGUUUUAUAAUCGAUAAACCACGUAAAUUUUACUUAUUUUAAAUAAUUUGUAUACCGUCAUUAUUAGAUAACUUUCAAAAAAUUAGUUAUUAAAAUUAAAAAAAAUUAAAUAUAUUAGAUCAAGGUGCAGUUAAUAAAUAAGAAAAAAUGGGUUACAAUAAAAUUUAUUUAAAACGAAUUAUAUAAAUGUAAAAAUAUAUGAAGGAGGAUUUAAUUGUAAUUUUUUUUAUAAAAUAAUAAUAUGAUAAUAGCUCUAAAAUAU
rnacentral:rRNA from 2 species